rnacentral:rRNA from 1 species
UACGUAGGGUGCAAGCGUUGUCCGGAAUUAUUGGGCGUAAAGAGCUCGUAGGCGGUUUGUCGCGUCGAAUGUGAAAACCCGGGGCUCAACCCCGGGCCUGCAUUCGAUACGGGCAGACUAGAGUUCGGUAGGGGAGUCUGGAAUUCCUGGUGUAGCGGUGAAAUGCGCAGAUAUCAGGAGGAACACCGGUGGCGAAGGCGGGUCUCUGGGCCGAUAUUGACGCUGAGGGGCGAAAGCGUGGGGAGCAAACAGG